rnacentral:lncRNA from 1 species
CUACCACCCCUAGUUGUGAGUUAACUUUUUAAGGCAAAGUAAAAACAACAGUGAUGAUAUACUUUGUGAGGUAGAUUCUGUUAUUUUCUCAUUUUAUAGGAAAGGAAGCAGAGUUGAGCCAAAUGCUCAAGGUCACGGCUAGGAAGAGCCAGCUUCCAACCCAGACAGUUUGGUUCUGGCUCCUUCUCUUAUCCACUUCAUUCUGCUGCCUCUUCUUUCUGGAGUGUUCCCAAGAUGUAAACCAACCUUGGUCUUCAUUCUUCACUAGGUAGCUAUUUCUGUUAAGCUCCUUCAUCACUGAAGUCUCAAACUAGCACUCAGCUCAGAAGUCAGCAGUACGGAAGUAAGCACAUAGAUUUACAAAGUCAAACCCAGUGAAGCUGAGCAGUCUAGAGCUUAAAUUAGAAUACAGCAAAUUUAAA